GUGCUCACUUUGGCAGCACAUAUACUAAAAUUGGAACAAUACAGAAAAGACCAGCAUGGCCCCUUCACAAAGGAUGGCAUGAAAAUUUGUGAAGUCUUACAUAUUUUA
ensembl:snRNA U6 U6 spliceosomal RNA